CAGUAAAUAGUUUAAUUAAAAUAUUAAUUUUGGAGAUUAAUGAUAGUCUUUUUUGAUUUUUACUGA
rnacentral:tRNA from 2 species